rfam:Munia coronavirus HKT13-3514, complete genome
CUACUCUUGCACAGAAUCACAUCUCGAUAAUUGUCAGUGCAAGAAGGACAAUUAUACCA